AACUUUAUGUAGUGGUAGUACUGUAGCUAAUGAAGUUUAGUUGAGGUGUAAUUAUAGCUUAUUGAAAACUUUUCCCAAUACCCCGCUCUAGUGACUUGCAACAAAGUUACUAUUAACAAUUUUUUAUAGUUUCUUUGGAGA